rfam:Mus musculus chromosome X, GRC primary reference assembly.
UGACUUGGCACUGGACAAAGAGACACCUUGUUGGUGGUGUUCUUUUAUCAGUCAGGGACAGAGCAGAUGGCAGUCCUUUGUUCAUCCUAAACUGAUGCCUGACUUGGUGGCCAAAGCUGUUUUAUGCCUAGGUACGCCUUU